rnacentral:lncRNA from 1 species
GCAGUAAUUAAAUUCAGCAUGAAGAGCAGCAUAAGUUCCCAAAGGAAAAGAUGUCGAUCAUAUUAAAAAACAUUAAUACAAAUACUUGAACAAAAUAUCAUGACGAAUCCCUUCUUUCUCAAAUUGUCGUCAGUAGCAAUAACAAUAUGAAUCACUUUCCAGAUAAUCGGAGUUUUAGAUGGACCAGAAGAGGCACAACUAAAAUAAGUAUCUAUCUUUAAA